rnacentral:lncRNA from 1 species
AUGGGGGUACACUUGUGUCAGAGCACAUCAAACCACACACCUUAUGUAUGCGCCCUUGUUACAUGGAGACCUACACACACACGUGUAUACACACAUACAGCAGUCUCCUCGCUGCAAUACGGGGGGUCCCCACGUGCCUCACACCCCCUACCCCAGUGGCUCCAGGCUGGCCAGAAGCCCUCAGCCCCUAAAGCCCUGGGGCCCAACUCCUGCCCCUCCACGACAGUAGAUGGGGGCUCCCCCCGGGGGCAUGACCCGCGGGUGCGGGGAGUCCAUGUACUCCCCGUCUUUCUUCUUCCUCAGGAAAAAAGCCUACUUGAUGCUCCGCACAAUUGUCUAAAAAUAGCCCGGGUCACCACGGCCCGAUUCCUUUUUAGGAAGGGUUUCGGCAGCCCGACCCGGCCUGGCCGCUGCCUCAGGAAGCGGAGGCUCGGUCCAGUGGGGCUUUGGGCAGGGGCCGGGGACGAGGGCCAUGAGGACCGUCCCUUGCUCCGGCCAGGCUCCCCCGCCCCUGUCUCCGUUCUCACCGAGAGCCAGGCUGCCGGCAGCACGGGAGCAGGCCGUGGCCUCCAUGUGCUCGCGCCUGGGCCGGGCCUGCAGCCCCGGGGGGACUCAGCCCUACCAGCGCCGGGGGCCUCAGCGGCCUCAGCGGCCCCAGCGGGGAGGUGGAGCUCUCUGCUCCCUUGCACUGCCCACUCCCGAGCAGGGACAGGCCUUGGAAAGCACAGAGCGCCAAGCCCUGUGUGCGGAUUAUGGAAUCCACCGACCGCGUUAGCCAGGGCCCACUGGUUUCCACUGAGGAGGGGUUCGAGAGGCAGCUGGCACCCAUCCGAGUCACUGUCCUUCCUGGGAGAAGUGUCCAGGCAUCCCGGGCCACUCUGCCACCUCCCUGUCCCCCCCAGACCUCCGGACCCAGAGAGAGAAAGGACACAGCAAGUCCGGACUCCCAGGGCCCAGCAGCGGCCUGCUCAAGCCGGCUCCCCUGCCACCUGUGGCCAUCACGGGGCAAAGCAGACGGGAACCCUGAAGGCAGGGCCCGCGCGCGGCCUCCUCGCUCUCCGGUUCUGGUUGCCAAGCAGAGCCUGGGGGCUGGGGCCUUUCCCAGAGGCUCCUGCGGCCUCCACGCCACACGGCCCGUGGCAGAGCCUGGACGGGGUCAGAGCGCCUUCUCUCAGCACCUGUGUUGCUCUUCUUAACCUGAGUGCUGAGGGUGUUUUUUUUUUUUUUAAUCUAUUUGAUUUUUAG